UCUUCCAUGGUUUGCUAUACUUCUCAUCUCAGUCCAAGAUAUUGCUCCCUGAUUUCUUUCUUUUUUCUUUUUUUAGCCCACAGGGUUUCUCACCACCUGAACUGCAAACACUGUCAGAGUGUAUUGAUGGCUUUCAUAUUAUAUGUUGACAAUGCUACUACUCGGGAGUGGAAAUGUGGUCAAAAAGACAGAUAUGACUGUCCAUCUUUCCAGAGAGUAGUGCUGUGAGAUGAAGUCAAUCAACCUGAGCAUCUGCCUGGGUCAGCAGACCAGAAGAGACUUUUGACACGGGAAUAUAUAGCUCUCCCUCCAGAAUGCUUUCUGAUUUCAACUUUGGACUCCUCUUAUUGUUUUUAAGAAGGAAGUUUGAUGUUCUUAUCUCAGGUUGUCAUGGAAACAAGUCGCAUGUGUUAGUUCCCUUGGCAAAAGUGGCAGUCUGUGAAUGGUGAAUAUUCAAGGUGGCACCAGGCUCAUCUAUGCUAAGACUGCCUUCAUCACAGAAGAUCCAAGGAUUUUAUAUGAAGCUUACAGAAUUUGUCUGAAAUGAAAGGGUAGAGAGACCUGGAGUUGCAUACUACUCUCCUGCCUAUUGAAGACACAACUUUCGUAAUGGCUUCUUCACUGGAGAGUAGCCUAUUGUUUUGGCAUUCCAAAGUGAUCACUUUCCCCAUCUAUUCAUCAAAGAUAUGAGGUAAUUUUUUUUUUUAUCGUGAGAACCUGGUGGCAUCUUUGUGGGUAAAACCUGUACAAUUGUGAGCUACAAGCUUGAUAUACAAAAGUCAGUUGUUUUCCUGUAUAGCAGCAAUAACAAUUAGAAUUUGAAAGUUAAAAUAACAGACCAUAUACAAUAGCACAAAAACAUUUUACUUAGAUAUAUAUCUAAGAAAGUAUGUACAGGUUGUGUAUGCAGAAAACUGUAAAAUGUUGAUGAAAGAAAUCAAAGAAAAUUCAAAUAAAUGGAGAGAUAUUUGUAGUUUAUGGAUUGGAAAAUCAAAUAUUGAUUAAAUGGCCAUUCUUCCCAUCUUCAUCUAUAUAUAUUCAAAGCUAAUAUACAGCUAUAUAUAUAUGUUUUCUUGCUGCUUCAGCUGAG